GUGUCGCAUCAUCUGGUAUGAAAGUUUUCGUUACCACAGUAGGAAUUCUAUCCCUAGCUAGAUAUAUAUUUUUGCUUUGUCCUAUCCACCAAAAACCCAGAAAAAUAUAUUGCUCGGACAUUUGUUUUAAUCUGUUAUUUUAGUGAGUUCAGUUAAGUCACAGUCCAUUCGUCUUUGUUUUAGUUGCUGAUCAUUUAUCCUUCGCGUGUUCGUUGUGCCUCUUUUAUAUCUAAAAAUCCCCCAAAAAAACCUAUAUAGUCUAUAUAAUCCUUUGUGUUAUCUUUGAUCCUAUCAAGUUAUAGUUUCUGGUUGUGCUUUGUUUCUAUCAACAAGUUUACAAGUAAUAUAUCUGAUCACUGUGUUUAGUUAUAAAAAAAGAAAAGUGUGCCAAAAAAAGGAAAGAAAGAAAAGAGUAAAAAAAUUCAGAAAGAAAGUUGCAAGAUCAGGUUAUAUCAAGUGCAUCAUUUCUGAAAGUUUUUGUAU
rnacentral:lncRNA from 1 species